AUUGAACGCUGGCGGAAUGCUUUACACAUGCAAGUCGAGCGGCAGCACGGGGGCAACCCUGGUGGCGAGCGGCGAACGGGUGAGUAAUACAUCGGAACAUGCCCAGUCGUGGGGGAUAACACUUCGAAAGAAGUGCUAAUACCGCAUACGUCCUGAGGGAGAAAGCGGGGGAUCUUCGGACCUCGCGCGAUUGGAGUGGCCGAUGUCAGAUUAGCUAGUUGGUGGGGUAAAGGCCUACCAAGGCAACGAUCUGUAGCUGGUCUGAGAGGAUGAUCAGCCACACUGGGACUGAGACACGGCCCAGACUCCGACGGGAGGCAGCAGUGGGGAAUUUUGGACAAUGGGGGCAACCCUGAUCCAGCCAUUCCGCGUGAGUGAAGAAGGCCUUCGGGUUGUAAAGCUCUUUCGGCAGGAACAAAACGGCGAGCUCUAACAUAGCUUGCUAAUGACAGUACCUGAAGAAGAAGCACCGGCUAACUACGUGCCAGCCGCCGCGGUAAGAC
rnacentral:rRNA from 1 species